CCCCUGUUCUCUGUCCCUUUAAAUGUUGCCUGCUAGCUACGUGUUACAAGGUGAAGGAAUUUUAAUUAACGUGGGAAAGUUACCUGCUGCAUACCUUCACUUUCUUUAGCCAGUCGUAGUAGUAGUAGUAGUAGUAGUAGUAGUAGUAGUAGUAGUAGUAGUAGUAGUAAAACACAGCAUCAUUUUAGUUCAUAUAUUUAUCUUAAUUAGAACAAUAAACAAAUUAAUAAUAAACGAAAUCAAAACUCAAGUAAUUAAUUAUAUAUAAAAUUGAACACCAGGUAACAACACACACACACACACACACACACACACACACACACAUAAACACAGGUGGGCCCGUCGUCUCGCCUCACCUGCCGCCGCGUCCUCAGGUGAGCGGGGAUCAUUAGGGACACGGGGCACGAGCGCAGGUGCCGGCGACUCAUGCCAUGGACGCCGAAAGGAGGAAAGAAAACGGGAUGUGGAGAGACAGAAAAUGUGCGUUUGGAUCCCUGACUGAACUAUUUUUACUGGAUCCCUGACUGAACUAUUUUUACAUAUAUAUUAAUUGACUGACUGACUAACUAAAUAGGUACAUAAUGAUCUGACUAUAUAGACACUGAAAGGA